UGAACGCUGAGGGCGUGCCUAAUACAUGCAAGUCGAACGAGGUGCGUUUGUAGCAAUACGAGAGUAUCCUAGUGGCGAACGGGUGAGUAACGCGUUGGUGACCUACCCCAAAGUGUGGGAUAACAGUCCGAAAGGAUUGCUAAUACCGCAUGUGGUUAUUGGAUUUAGAAACCGGUAACUAAAGGAGCAAUUCGCUUUGGGAGGGACCUGCGUCCCAUCAGCUAGUUGGUGAGGUAAUGGCUCACCAAGGCUACGACGGGUAGGGGACCUGAGAGGGUGACCCCCCACAAUGGAACUGAAACACGGUCCAUACACCUACGGGUGGCAGCAGUAGGGAAUAUUGCACAAUGGGCGAAAGCCUGAUGCAGCAACGCCGCGUGUGCGAUGAAGGCCUUCGGGUCGUAAAGCACUUAUCUGGGAGAUGAGAAAGGACAGUAUCCCAGGAAUAAGUCUCGGCUAACUACGUGCCAGCAGCCGCGGUAAAACGUAGGAGGCGAGCGUUAUCCGGAUUCACUGGGCGUAAAGCGCGUGCAGGUGGCGCGGUAAGUUGGGCGUGAAAUCUCCCGGCUCAACUGGGAGAGGUCGUCCAAUACUACCGUGCUUUGAGAGCAGAAGAGGAAGAUGGAAUUCCCGGUGUAGUGGUGAAAUGCGUAGAUAUCGGGAGGAACACCAGUGGCGAAGGCGAUCUUCUGGUCUGUUUCUGACACUCAGACGCGACAGCUAGGGUAGUAAACGGGAUUAGAGACCCCGGUAAUCCUAGCCGUAAACGAUGUGAACUUGGCGUUGGUGGCUUAAACACCAUCAGUGCCGCAGCAAACGCGAUAAGUUCACCGCACUUGGGGACUACGGUCGCAAGGUUAAAACUCAAAGGAAUUGACGGGGGCCCGCAGCAAGCAGCGGGAGCGUGUGGUCUUAAUUCGAUUGCUACACGAAGAACCUUACCCAGGCUUGACAUACAGGUGGUACGGGAUCCGAAAGGUGACCGACCCGCAAGGGAGCCUGAACACGGUGUUUGCACUGGCAUGUUCGUCAAAGCUUCGUCGUCGUNGAGAUGUUCGGUUAAGUCCGCUAACGAGCGCAACCCUCGCUGCGUGUUACAAGUGUCACGCAGGACCGCCGGUAUUAAGCCAGGAGGAAGGUGGGGAUGACGUCAAGUCAGCAUGGCCUUUAUGCCUGGGGCUACACACACGCUACAAUGGGCAGUACAAUGGGUUGCUAAGCCGCGAGGUGGAGCCAAUCCCCCAAAACUGUCCUCAGUUCAGAUUGCAGGCUGCAACUCGCCUGCAUGAAGCCGGAGUUGCUAGUUACGCGCGUCAGCUAUAGU
rnacentral:rRNA from 1 species